GACGAACGCUGGCGGCGUGCUUAACACAUGCAAGUCGAACGGUAAGGCCCUUCGGGGUACACGAGUGGCGAACGGGUGAGUAACACGUGGGUGAUCUGCCCUGCACUUCGGGAUAAGCCUGGGAAACUGGGUCUAAUACCGGAUAGGACUCCUGCCUGCAUGGGUGGGGGUGGAAAGCUUUUGCGGUGUGGGAUGGGCCCGCGGCCUAUCAGCUUGGUGGUGGGGUGAUGGCCUACCAAGGCGACGACGGGUAGCCGGCCUGAGAGGGUGACCGGCCACACUGGGACUGAGAUACGGCCCAGACUCCUACGGGAGGCAGCAGUGGGGAAUAUUGCAAAAUGGACGCAAGCCUGAUGCAGCGACGCCGCGUGAGGGAUGACGGCCUUCGGGUUGUAAACCUCUUUCAGCACAGACGAAGCGCAAGUGACGGUAUGUGCAGAAGAAGGACCGGCCAACUACGUGCCAGCCGCCGCAGUAA
rnacentral:rRNA from 1 species